rnacentral:rRNA from 1 species
UGGGGAAUAUUGCAUAAUGGGCGAAAGCCUGAUGCAGCAACGCCGCGUGAGUGAUGAAGGCCUUCGGGUUGUAAAGCUCUGUCUUUUGGGACGAUAAUGACGGUACCAAAGGAGGAAGCCACGGCUAACUACGUGCCAGCAGCCGCGGUAAUACGUAGGUGGCAAGCGUUGUCCGGAUUUACUGGGCGUAAAGGAUGCGUAGGCGGAUUUUUAAGUGAGAUGUGAAAACCCUAAGCUUAACUUGGGGACUGCAUUUCAUACUGGAAAUCUAGAGUGCGGGAGAGGAGAAUGGAAUUCCUAGUGUAGCGGUGAAAUGCGUAGAGAUUAGGAAGAACACCAGUGGCGAAGGCGAUUCUCUGGACCGUAACUGACGCUGAGGCAUGAAAAGCGUGGGUAGCAAAACAGGAUUAGAUACCCUGGUAGUCCACGCCGUAAAACGAUGAGUACUAGGUGUAGGAGGCAUCGACCCCUUCUGUGCCGCAGUUAACACAAUAAGUACUCCGCCUGGGAAGUACGAUCGCAAGAUUAAAAACUCAAAAGGAAUUGAGGGGGUC